AUUAUAAUCAUCAAUUAAGUCACUAAUUUGGUGUACCUCGCAAGAAACUUGGUAAAGAUUAGAACCUAAAAAUAUAAGAGCAAGUCCAACGGUGCAUCUUAACACAUAUCUUAGCAUAAUAUCUUAGGUUUAAGUAAUUAAAAUUAAAUCAAAAAUGACUUAAAUGCUAAGAUUUACAUCUUAGCUAAAAUCUUUUAUGUGUGCUAAGAAGCAUGGACGUGUCCUGAAAUGAGUGGUCCAAAUUAAAGACAAAACCAAAAAAUAAAAUCACGCGUUCAUCUUCUCUUUCUCUCUUUUUUUUUUUCUCUUUCUCUCGUUCUCGAGACAUGCAAAACAAACACAAAAACUUCACCAUCCGACUCGAUCCGAUGAAUUGAGAAGAGAUUUGAGUCGGAAAUUCUUCGUUCAUCUGUGGUCAUCAUCAUUAACCGAAUAUGGAGACCAUCGGCGAUAUCUGGUUCACCAGAUCGAGAUCAGAAAAUCGAAGAAUUCACCAAAUCGGAGAUUUGAGUUAUUGGCUGCUCCAAUCUGUUUCCCAUGGUAUGAAUCUCUCUCUGUUCAAUUGUUUUUCGCGUUGAAUUCGGGUUAUUUGAUUUGGUGUAGAAAUUAGGGAUUUCUCAGCUGAAUUGGAUUCUUUAACAUUUGGUUUGGAGAUUGAUGAGUUGUUGUUUUCUUUUCUAUAUUUCUUCUGCUGAUAUUGUAAUUGUUUCUGUAUGAUGAGUUCCGUGCGAGUGUGUUUGAGGCAUUCGAAGAAGAGGAUAGAGUGAUAGAGAACAAUGAAGGACUGCCUCCAGCUUUGUUGGGAAGCUGCAAUGAUCUUGCAAGGCAGCCUCAUGCGUCUCCAGGUUUGAUUUCUAAAUGGCAUGUCUAGGGUUUGGAAAUGCUUUCUUGAUACUAAGAAAUAUUAGCUUGUUCGAAAUGUGACUCCUUUUUUGGUUGGGUGAAACUUUGCUUGCUUCUAUGUUUAGGCAAUAUGAACAUUGAGAUUUUGUGUAGUUGAGUAUAU
rnacentral:sRNA from 1 species